CCAGAGUGGGUGCCUCUAGAGAGGGGUGGGGCUGGCUGGUCAAUCCCUGGCAUCUCUCUUCUUAGGGACACCAAAUAGAAGCUAUCGGAUGCAUGUAUAAGUCUUGCAAUAAACCCCAUGGUCCUACCUGAAUCAUCAAACUACCCUGGUAUGAAGGACAAAAGGCCUAUGCGACCUCACAUGUUGACAAGGCGGAGUUACCAGAGCUUGGCAUUACCUGGGUGCACCCACCAGUGCUUUCUCUGCAGUUGCUCAUGUUCCAUUCAAAAAAGGAGGUCACCUUGGAAAAAGAGAAGCUUUUUGAAUACAGCCCUAAGGACAGUCGAGGAGUUGGCCAAGGAGCUCUAUGGAGACACAGAGCUCAUUUCUGGAAACGCUGGUUUCAGCCCAGAGGGACAAGAUCACAGGCCAGAAAGGGCUUUGGGCUGAAGCUUCAUCCAGUGAGACGCCUUCCCCUUCUCUUCCCCCACCUUUCUAAUAAUGGAAUGGACCGUGGAUCUGCCUUGCUCUGGAAAAGCAUAGCAUGCUAGAGCUAUUCCUCUAUUUACCUGUCCUACCUCAAAAGUGUUUAUAAUCGUCUGCUUUCCCCUUCUUGAUUUCAGUCUAGAGAAUCUGCAGCUUUGAUACAAGGCAGAGGUUGGGGGUGAGGGUGAGGGUGGGGAGGGAGAACCCCUCCCUCCAUUCUCACUCUCUUGUUAUUCUUCUCCUAAUUGAACCACAGUAAAUUCAGAUAGGCACCGUUUUUCCUGACAUUUCUAUAAGUGUGGACUUUAACAAUUCCUUUUUAAUUGUCAUGGUGUUUUCUAAAACCAACUGUUGCAUCUUUUGUCACUAUGUUCAGAAAGCAGUUAUGUACAGAGGAAAGAGGGCUGGGCCUUAAUCCUGAGUUGUGGGUAGUGUUGCCCUAGGCCUCAGGUACUCCUUACUGUUAUUUUCUGAGUUCUGUCCAGGGGCUCAACCUCAGGGACUCCUCUCCUCCCCUAAGCCAUGGUCAGAAAAGAUGGAUUCUAAUCCCAUCUCAAUAGUUCUCAAUAGUGUGACCUUGGCAGCUCCCUUUUGUCUCACUCCUCUGAGUUUCCUCAUCUCUAGUAUGUAGGUACUACUAAUCCCCCAAGGUUAUUGUGAAAAAAAAAACCCACUGUAUAAAAAUGAUGUGAUUGUUUCAUACCAGCUUUUGUGUUUUAAAUAAUAGUUAUAGAUUCCCAAAACUUGUUGCCUUCUUUCUUUUUCUAAAAGGCUGCUCAAAAUUUAUUAGUGUCUGGUGAGG
rnacentral:lncRNA from 1 species